GCAAGUCGAACGGACACGACCUAGUUUACUAGGUACGGUUAGUGGCAAACGGGUGAGUAAUAUAUAGGAAUCUGUCUUAUAGUAAAGAAUAACAUAUGGAAACAUAUGCUAAUACUGUAUAACAUCGGUAACUUAGUUGUUAUCGAGAAAGGUUUAGACUUCGGUUUAAGCCGCUAUUAGAGGAGCCUAUAUCGGAUUAGUUAGUUGGUAGGGUAAAGGCCUACCAAGACUGUGAUCUGUAGCUGGUCUGAGAGGAUGAUC
rnacentral:rRNA from 1 species